CAUUCUAGCUAUAGUUUAUAUGCUCGUUAUAAUGUGCUCUGUCGGUCAGAACUUUCAGAACAAGGUUACGACAGUAAUCGAGAUGUUGAAAGACCGCGCCUGUGAGACUACCGAUGUCGAGAUAAAAGCAGAUAUGAAUCGUCUGUCACACAUGCUCGAACCACUGCGUUAUUUCAGCAUGUGUGGCUGGUACACGCUGG